UACGUAGGUGGCAAGCGUUGUCCGGAUUUACUGGGCGUAAAGAGCGCGCAGGCGGUCGUUCAAGUCGCGUGUGAAAGCCCCCGGCUCAACUGGGGAGGGUCACGCGAUACUGAUCGACUCGAAGGCAGGAGAGGGUAGUGGAAUUCCCGGUGUAGUGGUGAAAUGCGUAGAGAUCCGGAGGAACACCAGUGGCGAAGGCGACACGCUGGGCCGUACCUGACACUGAUGCGCGACAGCAUGGGGAGCAAACAGG
rnacentral:rRNA from 1 species